CUCACAGGAAGACCCGCCUCAGAGGAGGUGGCUUUGAGGUCUAGUGAGCACCUCUCUUGGGCUCUACCUAUGGGUCCUCUUCAUGUCAUCUCUGCCAUGGGCACCAGUCUCCUCUGCUGGGUGGUCAUCUGGCUCCUGGGGACAGGUUCCACAAAUGCUGGCGUCACCCAGAAUCCGAGACACCUGGUGAGAAGGACAGGACAAGAGGCAAUACUGACAUGCAGCCCCGAGAAAGGACACAGUUAUUUUUAUUGGUAUCAGCAGUUCCUGGGGGAAGGUCUGAAAUUCAUGAUUUACCUCCAGAAAGAAACUAUCUUAGACCAGUCAGGAAUGCCAAAGAAACGCUUUUCUACUGAAUUUUCCGAAGACGGACUUAGCAUCUUAAAGAUCCAGCCGGCAGAGUUGGGAGACUCUGCAGUGUACUUCUGUGCCAGCACCGAAGCCACAUCAAUGCAGAGUCCCAUCCUGUCAAUGCACAAACGUCCUCCAUGCCCCACCUCAGAAACAGCCGUGGGCUGGGGAAGGGAGGGGGGCACAUCGUUUGAUUAG